CAGUCUUGUCCUUCAGAAAUCAACCUGGCCUUGGUCUUGGGUGCACUUUCUGUUGGACAGGUCAGCAUCAGUUUUGGCUGUUGGAAAAAGGCUCAAGAAAUGUAGCACCCUUCGGGUGUGUUAUAGUCUCGAGCUGAAUACAGCUGCCGGGACUGAGGAUCUCAGUGUGACCUUGUGUUUGGGGGCUUUGCCUCACAACGCGCACUUAGGAUGCUGACUUAAUGGCUUUAAUCGACCCGUCUUGAAACACGGACCAAGGAGUCUAACAUGUGUGCGAGUGUU
rnacentral:rRNA from 1 species